rnacentral:rRNA from 1 species
AGAGUUUGAUCCUGGCUCAGGACGAACGCUGGCGGUGUGCUUCACACAUGCAAGUCGAGCGAAUGAAGUAGGUAGCUUGCUACUUAUGGAUUUAGCGGCGGACGGGUGAGUAAUAUAUAGGAAUCUGCCUUAGAGCGGGGAACAACAGACCGAAAGGUUUGCUAAUGCCCCAUAGGUAUGCAGUCUUCGGAUUGUAUAUUAAAGGAGUAAUCCACUCUAAGAUGAGCCUGUAUCCGAUUAGCUAGUUGGCGGGGUAAAGGCCCACCAAGGCUACGAUCGGUAGUUGGUCUGAGAGGAUGAUCAGCCACAAUGGGACUGAGACACGGCCCAUACUCCUACGGGAGGCAGCAGUGGGGAAUUUUACACAAUGGGGGAAACCCUGAUGUAGCGACACCGCGUGAACGAAGAAGCCUUUUGGGGUGUAAAGUUCUGUCGGCUGGAACGAAAAAAAUGACGGUACCAGCAAAGGAAGCAUCGGCUAACUACGUGCCAGCAGCCGCGGUAAGACGUAGGAUGCAAGCGUUGUCCGGAUUUAUUGGGCGUAAAGAGUUCGUAGGCGGUUAUUUAAGUCUGAUGUUAAAUACUGUGGCCCAACCACAGAACUGCAUUGGAUACUGGAUGACUUGAGUGCGAUAGAGGCAAGUGGAAUUCCCAGUGUAGCGGUGAAAUGCGUAGA